GCAUGCGCUGGGGCCCCGUAGGCGGUCUGACCACGGGGUCGCCGCGCAGUGCAUGCCGGGAGCUGUAGUUCUGCCCGCCACAGCAGCGCGCAUGCGCAGAAGGAGCCGCCAUGCCGGAGGUGAAGGCUGCGUUCCAAGAGGUACUGCCCAAGCAAGGGCAGCUGUCGGUGGAGGACACGGCCUCCAUGGUGCUGUGCAAGCCCAAGGUGCUGCCGCUCAAGUCGGUGUCGCUGGAGAAGCUGGAGGCGCUGCGGCGGGCAGCGCUGGAGGCAGCGGCGCGGCAGGCUGAGCAGGCACCGCAGCCUCAGCCCCAGCCGUAGCCCAGGCGCCAGGGAGGGGGCCGGUGCCCUGAGGUGUCCGUGACUCGGAGCUCACAGUUUUUCACUGUCAACAACAUGGAUCGUUGUGACACCUGAAGCUUCCAUCUCAGUACUGCACUGAUCCCUACCAAGCAGAUUAGCAGAACAGAGAAGAAGCAGGCCUUCAUUCCCUGGAGGGCACACAGGCCUGCAACAGACUCAUUGGAGGCUUAUUUUCCUCAACUACUUAUCCCAUAACAGGAUAACCAUAACAUCUUAAUAAACUUUUUACCAGUCCA